GGAGGUGGGACCGUUAGAGGAAUUGGGCAAGUUACAAAAACAAAGCCACUGGGUAAUGAGGCGAGCCCAUGUGUGAAGCCUGCCACCCCCUGGUUUCUAUUGGUCCCGUAUGCAGAGGAUGUUGGUCUGGAUCUGGCCACGUGCUCGGAAGCGUUCACAUGCCAUCCAGACACGUCCUGUGCUACAGUGCAACAUGGAAGAAACAACCUUUGACACUGGCCUUGAAGUUGCCGUGACUGAUCUCACAGGCAGGCUGGGGGAUGUCAUGUAGCUGCCUUUGAUUGAUCUCUUCACUUCCUGCUACAAAGAUGGAGGCCGCUCCCGUAACCACACAGCCCCUUUCAAGCUUGGGGUGUAGGAGACGCCCUUCAGCAACGUUCCAGAAUCAAAUCGGGUUCACCCUUCCCCCCAAACCUAAC